rnacentral:lncRNA from 1 species
AUGGAAGGAAGUCGAGCCUACUCGUGGUGCCAGCACCUAGAGGGAGGGCUGAGCCUGGGGAGAGAGAGAAGACAGACCAUAGGACAAAUCGCUUGGAUAUUGACGAGAAUUAGAUCAAAUGCCGGACUAGCAACGUUGGCCUUGAAAAGGAAAAGAAACAUCUCUUUCUCGAAGGUUAAUAGAGAGGACAUUAGAUACAUUUGUGGAUCAGAAGGAAUCAGAGGCUCAUCACACAGAUCUCGGUACCCCCACGGCCAGGGAAGUGGGAGGCUUCCUAGGGUGGCGGCGCCCAGGUGGCCUGGGCCGCGCACCUGCCCGAACCGCACACCUGCCCCAACCACGCACCUGCCCGAACCGUGCACCUGCCUGAACCGUGCACCUGCGUCCCAUCGGCUAGCUCGGCUCCUCUCCUGCCCACCUCGCGGCCAAGGAGCCUCCAGGCUCAGAACCUCAGGAAAUUCCUCGACGGCGACAAUCAGCACAAGCCCCUGGAUCUGCGGCCCAGGGGACCCAGGCCACGUGCUACUGGUGCGAGGAAAGGCCUAG